rnacentral:tRNA from 8 species
GGCUCGAUAGCUCAGUUGGUAGAGCAACGGACUGAAAAUCCGUGUGUCGGCGGUUCGAUUCCGUCUCGAGCCACCA